rnacentral:rRNA from 1 species
AGAACGAACGCUGGCGGCAUGCCUAACACAUGCAAGUCGAACGAGACCUUCGGGUCUAGUGGCGCACGGGUGCGUAACGCGUGGGAAUCUGCCCUUAGGUACGGAAUAACAGUGAGGAAUUACUGCUAAUACCGUAUGAUGUCUUCGGACCAAAGAUUUAUCGCCUAGGGAUGAGCCCGCGUUGGAUUAGCUAGUUGGUGGGGUAAAGGCCUACCAAGGCGACGAUCCAUAGCUGGUCUGAGAGGAUGAUCAGCCACACUGGGACUGAGACACGGCCCAGACUCCUACGGGAGGCAGCAGUGGGGAAUAUUGGACAAUGGGCGAAAGCCUGAUCCAGCAAUGCCGCGUGAGUGAAGAAGGCCUUCGGGUUGUAAAGCUCUUUUACCCGGGAAGAUAAUGACUGUACCGGGAGAAUAAGCCCCGGCUAACUCCGUGCCAGCAGCCGC